CUACGGGUUGCAGCAGUGAGGAAUAUUGCACAAUGGGGGGAACCCUGAUGCAGCAACGCCGCGUGGAGGAUGACGCAUUUCGGUGUGUAAACUCCUUUUAUAUGUCAAGAAAAUGACGGUAGCAUAUGAAUAAGCACCGGCUAACUCCGUGUCAGCAGCCGCGGUAAUACGGAGGGUGCAAGCGUUACUCGGAAUCACUGGGCGUAAAGGACGCGUAGGCGGGUUGGAAAGCCAGGUGUGAAAUCCUACAGCUUAACUGUAGAACUGCACUUGAAACUUCUAAUCUAGAGUAUGGGAGGGGGAGAUGGAAUUAGUGGUGUAGGGGUAAAAUCCGUAGAUAUCACUAGGAAUACCUAAAGCGAAGGCGAUCUCCUGGAACAUUACUGACGCUAAGGCGUGAAAGCGUGGGGAGCAAACAGGAUUAGAUACCCCAGUAGUC
rnacentral:rRNA from 1 species